rnacentral:rRNA from 1 species
UGCUGGAGGUAUCGGAAGUGCGAAUGCUGACAUGAGUAACGAUAAUGCGGGUGAAAAACCCGCACGCCGAAAGCCCAAGGUUUCCUUGCGCAACGUUAAUCGGCGCAGGGUGAGUCGGCCCCUAAGGCGAGGCAGAAAUGCGUAGUCGAUGGGAAGCAGGUUAAUAUUCCUGCACCUCGCGUAAGUGCGAUGGAGGGACGGAGAAGGUUAGGUGUACCAGGCGUUGGUUGUCCUGGGGAAAGGCGGUAGGUUUGGAUCUUUGGCAAAUCCGGGAUCCUUUAAGACCGAGCACCGAGACGAGCCUUUAUGGCGAAGUCACUGAUACCACGCUUCCAGGAAAAGCUCCUAAGCUUCAGCUUACGCAGACCGUACCGUAAACCGACACAGGUGGGUAGGAUGAGAAUUCUCAGGCGCUUGAGAGAACUCGGGUGAAGGAACUAGGCAACAUGGCACCGUAACUUCGGGAGAAGGUGCACCCUUUUUGGUGGCUCGUGCGAGCUAUAGCUGAAGAGGGUCGCAGUAACCAGGCCGCUGCGACUGUUUAUCAAAAACACAGCACUCUGCAAACACGAAAGUGGACGUAUAGGGUGUGACGCCUGCCCGGUGCUGGAAGGUUAAUUGAUGGGGUCAGCCGCAAGGCGAAGCUCUUGAUCGAAGCCCCAGUAAACGGCGGCCGUAACUAUAACGGUCCUAAGGUAGCGAAAUUCCUUGUCGGGUAAGUUCCGACCUGCACGAAUGGCGUAACGACAGCGGCGCUGUCUCCACCCGAGACUCAGUGAAAUUGAAAUCGCUGUGAAGAUGCAGCGUUCCCGUGGCAAGACGGAAAGACCCCGUGAACCUUUACUAUAGCUUUACACUGAACGUUGAGUUCGUCUGUGUAGGAUAGGUGGGAGGCUAUGAAACUGUGGCGCUAGCUGCAGUGGAGCCAUCCUUGAAAUACCACCCUGUCGUGCUUGACGUUCUAACCUGGGCCCAUUAUCUGGGUCGGGGACCGUGUAUGGUGGGUAGUUUGACUGGGGCGGUCUCCUCCUAAAGAGUAACGGAGGAGCUCGAAGGUACGCUCAGCGCGGUCGGACAUCGCGCACUGUGUGCAAAGGCAUAAGCGUGCUUGACUGCAAGAUCGACGGAUCAAGCAGGUAGGAAACUAGGACUUAGUGAUCCGGUGGUUCUGUAUGGAAGGGCCAUCGCUCAACGGAUAAAAGGUACUCCGGGGAUAACAGGCUGAUACCGCCCAAGAGUUCAUAUCGACGGCGGUGUUUGGCACCUCGAUGUC